CCUACGGGGGGCUGCAGUGGGGAAUAUUGCACAAUGGGGGAAACCCUGAUGCAGCGACGCCGCGUGAGUGAAGAAGUAAUUCGGUAUGUAAAGCUCUAUCAGCAGGGAAGAAAAUGACGGUACCUGAGUAAUAAGCCCCGGCUAACUACGUGCCAGCAGCCGCGGUAAUACGUAGGGGGCAAGCGUUAUCCGGAUUUACUGGGUGUAAAGGGAGCGUAGACGGCAGUGCAAGUCUGGAGUGAAAGGCGGGGGCUCAACCCCCGGACUGCUCUGGAAACUGUACGGCUGGAGUGCAGGAGAGGUAAGUGGAAUGCCUAGUGUAGCGGUGAAAUGCGUAGAUAUUAGGAGGAACACCAGUGGCGAAGGCGGCUUACUGGACUGUAACUGACGUUGAGGCUCGAAAGCGUGGGGAGCAAACAGGAUUAGAUACCCGAGUAGUC
rnacentral:rRNA from 1 species